rnacentral:rRNA from 1 species
UCAUUCUAGAUACACUUUCCAGUACAUCUACUAUGUUACGACUUAUCUUACCUUAAUAAUAAGAGCGACGGGCGAUGUGUACAUAUUUUAGAGCUAAAAUCAAAUUAUUAAUCUUUAUAAUUUUACAACCAAAUCCACCUUCAAAAAUUUUUUCAUAAUUUUAUCCGUUUAAAUAAAUUUAUUGUAACCCAUUAUAACUUAAAUAUAAGCUACACCUUGAUCUGAUAUAAAUUUUAAUAAAAAUUAUUGAAUAUUAUUAUUCUUAUAAAAUAUUCUGAUAACGACGGUAUAUAAACUGAUUACAAACUUAAGUAAGGUCCAUCGUGGAUUAUCGAUUAAAAAACAGGUUCCUCUGGAUAGACUAAAAUACCGCCAAAUUUUUUAAGUUUCAAGAACAUAUC